rnacentral:rRNA from 1 species
UACGGGGGGUGCGAGCGUUGUCCGGAAUCACUGGGCGUAAAGGGCGCGUAGGCGGCGCAACAAGUCACUUGUGAAAUCUCCGGGCUUAACCCGGAGCGGCCAAGUGAUACUGUCGUGCUAGAGUGCGGAAGGGGCUACUGGAAUUCUCGGUGUAGCGGUGAAAUGCGUAGAUAUCGAGAGGAACACCUGCGGCGAAGGCGGGUAGCUGGGCCGACACUGACGCUGAGGCGCGAAAGCCAGGGGAGCGAACGGG